GUCCUGUGCUCUCUACUCUUUGUACUUUCAUUUGCUGACUGACAUACUAUUUUAAAAUGAACUGAUAUCCUGGUCAGUAACAUUGCCCCCUACUCAAAGUAAUAUGAUUCCUUGAGGAUUUCAGCUGUUGGGUUUUCCUCCACCAAAUCAGGCUACCUUCAACAGAAAGGCCAGUCAAAAUCAAACCUAUGUGGAUCAUAUCCAUUUGGAUGACAGAAUUGGAUCUGCUGGGCAUCUUCUUUAAUCAAAGAGAUUCUCUAGCAAAAGAAAGAUAAAACAGGUAGAGUGGAUGGAAGAGGAAGGGUUAUGAAUCCAAGAAAGACAACAAGGUUAGGAAGAUCUGGAGACCUGGAGGAAGAAAUGACAUCCUGCUCCAGUAUUCCUGCCUGGGAAAUUCCAAGGACAGAGGAGCCUGGCGGGCUACUUUCCAUGGGACUGCAAAGAGUGGAACAUGACUGAGCACAGCACAGCACCUACAGCCAAAACACAGGACCAUAAAAAUUUCUCAACUUUGGCACUCUUGACAUUUUGGGCUAAUAAUUUGUUGCUGUAAGACAGUCCUGUAUACUGUAGGAUGUUUAACAGUAUUUUGACCUAUGCCUUUUCCUACUGGAAUAUGACCAUCCUCAAGAAAAAGACAUACAAAAAGGCAAAAUGGUUGUCUGAGGAGGCCUUACAAAUAGCU
ensembl:lncRNA